CAGAGAGCUGGAGAGAGACAUGGUGGAGCUCAGAGAGAGACGUGGUGGAGCUCAGAGAGCUGGAGAGAGACAUGGUGGAGCUCAGAGAGACGUGGUGGAGCUCAGAGAGCUGGAGAGAGACGUGGUGGAGCUCAGGGAGCUGGAGAGAGACGUGGUGGAGCUCAGAGAGCUGGAGAGAGACGUGGUGGAGCUCAGAGAGCUGGAGAGAGACGUGGUGGAGCUCAGAGAGCUGGAGAGAGACAUGGUGGAGCUCAGAGAGACACGUGGUGGAGCUCAGAGAGAGACGUGGUGGAGCUCAGAGAGCUGGAGAGAGACGUGGUGGAGCUCAGAGAACUGGAGAGAGA
ensembl:lncRNA